UAUGCAAAGAUACUCCUCUGUUGUGGCAGA
rnacentral:piRNA from 2 species